rnacentral:rRNA from 1 species
ACUCCUACGGGAGGCAGCAGUGGGGAAUAUUGCACAAUGGGCGCAAGCCUGAUGCAGCCAUGCCGCGUGUGUGAAGAAGGCCUUCGGGUUGUAAAGCACUUUCAGUCGUGAGGAAGGUAGUGUAGUUAAUAGCUGCAUUAUUUGACGUUAGCGACAGAAGAAGCACCGGCUAACUCCGUGCCAGCAGCCGCGGUAAUACGGAGGGUGCGAGCGUUAAUCGGAAUUACUGGGCGUAAAGCGCAUGCAGGUGGUUUGUUAAGUCAGAUGUGAAAGCCCGGGGCUCAACCUCGGAAUAGCAUUUGAAACUGGCAGACGUAGAGUACUGGUAGAGGGGGUUAGAAUUUCAGGUGUAGCGGUGAAAUGCGUAGAGAUCU